CAGCCGCCGCGGUAAUACCGGCGGCCCGAGUGGCGGUCACUAUUAUUGGGCUUAAAGCGUCCGUAGCCGGGUUGGGAAGUCCUCCGGGAAAUCUGGCCGCUUAAAGGUCAGAAUGCCGGAGGAUACUCCCAGCCUAGGGAGCGGGCGAGGCCGAGGGUAUUCCCGGAGUAGGGGGGAAAUCCUAUAAUCCCGGGAGGACCACCUGUGGCGAAGGCGCUCGGCUGGAACGCGUCCGACGGUGAGGGACGAAGGCCAGGGGAGCAAACCGGAUUAGAUACCCGGGUAGUCCUGGCUGUAAACGAUGCGGACUUUGUGUCGGACAAGCUAUGAGCUUGUCCGGUGCCGGAGGGAAACCGUUAAGUCCGCCGCCUGGGGAGUACGGCCGCAAGGCUGAAACUUAAAGGAAUUGGCGGG
rnacentral:rRNA from 1 species